rnacentral:misc_RNA from 1 species
UGAGCCUGCCGAGGAGGGUU